GGGGAUAUGGCGAAAUUGGUAGACGCUACGGACUUAAUGGGAUUGGGCCUUGGUAUGGAAACCUGCUGAGUGAGAGCUUUCAAAUUCAGAGAAACCCUGGAAUUAAAAAAAAGGGGCAAUCCUGAGCCAAAUCCUAUUUUUCGAAAACAAAGGUUUAGAAAGUGAAAAAGGGGAUAGGUGCAGAGACUCAAUGGAAGCUGUUCUAACAAAUGGAGUUCUCUGUGUUAGUCGAGAAGUCUUUCCAUCAAAAACUCAGAAAAUACAAGUAGUAAGUAUUAAGUGAAGGAUAAACGUAUAUACUAUCCAUACGUAAUGAAUAGUCUAUUUUAUAUUAAAUUAUAAUUUUAAAUGAGUAAUGACAUUCCCAAUGAAUAUAUAUUUUUUCUAUGAAAAAAUAUAGAAUUGUAAUUGUUGUUAAAAUAUUCCACGUUUAAGAAAGAAUCGAAUAUUCAUUUAUCAAAUGAUUCACUCCAUAGUCUGAUAGAUCUUUUUACGAACUGAUUAAUCGGACGAGAAUAAAGAUAGAGUCCCGUUCUACAUGUCAAUGACGGCAACAAUGAAAUUUAUAGUUAAGAGGAAAAUCCGUCGACUUUUAAAAUCGUGAGGGUUCAAGUCCCUCUAUCCCCAA
rnacentral:ncRNA from 1 species